UGGCUCAGGAUGAACGCUGGCGGCGUGCCUAAUACAUGCAAGUCGAGCGAACGGACGAGAAGCUUGCUUCUCUGAUGUUAGCGGCGGACGGGUGAGUAACACGUGGAUAACCUACCUAUAAGACUGGGAUAACUUCGGGAAACCGGAGCUAAUACCGGAUAAUAUUUUGAACCGCAUGGUUCAAAAGUGAAAGACGGUCUUGCUGUCACUUAUAGAUGGAUCCGCGCUGCAUUAGCUAGUUGGUAAGGUAACGGCUUACCAAGGCAACGAUGCAUAGCCGACCUGAGAGGGUGAUCGGCCACACUGGAACUGAGACACGGUCCAGACUCCUACGGGAGGCAGCAGUAGGGAAUCUUCCGCAAUGGGCGAAAGCCUGACGGAGCAACGCCGCGUGAGUGAUGAAGGUCUUCGGAUCGUAAAACUCUGUUAUUAGGGAAGAACAUAUGUGUAAGUAACUGUGCACAUCUUGACGGUACCUAAUCAGAAAGCCACGGCUAACUACGUGCCAGCAGCCGCGGUAAUACGUAGGUGGCAAGCGUUAUCCGGAAUUAUUGGGCGUAAAGCGCGCGUAGGCGGUUUUUUAAGUCUGAUGUGAAAGCCCACGGCUCAACCGUGGAGGGUCAUUGGAAACUGGAAAACUUGAGUGCAGAAGAGGAAAGUGGAAUUCCAUGUGUAGCGGUGAAAUGCGCAGAGAUAUGGAGGAACACCAGUGGCGAAGGCGACUUUCUGGUCUGUAACUGACGCUGAUGUGCGAAAGCGUGGGGAUCAAACAGGAUUAGAUACCCUGGUAGUCCACGCCGUAAACGAUGAGUGCUAAGUGUUAGGGGGUUUCCGCCCCUUAGUGCUGCAGCUAACGCAUUAAGCACUCCGCCUGGGGAGUACGACCGCAAGGUUGA
rnacentral:rRNA from 1 species